rnacentral:misc_RNA from 1 species
UUUUCCGGUAGGUGGAAACUGCGGAAGGAUCAUUAAAUAAAUAAGAAGUAUUUCGGGCUUUGUCCUGAUUUUACUAUCUAUUUUACUGUGAAACUGUUUUAUUUCAUAGUGUUUGAGGGAUGUUCUUAUGCUAUAUGGGUAGGCAUAGGAAAUGUUAACCGAGCUAUGGUCAAGCUUAGGCUUGGUACCCUGUUUAUAUACUUUCAAUUGAUCAGAUUAUAAAAUGUAACAUAGGUAGUAAUAUCUAUAAAACAACUUUUAACAAUGGAUCUCUUGGCUUUUGCAUCGAUGAAGAACGUAGCAAAUUGCGAUAACUAGUGUGAAUUGCAAAUUCAGUGAAUCAUCGAGUCUUUGAACGCAUCUUGCGCUCAUUGGUAUUCCAGUGAGCACGCCUGUUUCAGUAUCAAAAACAACCCUCAUUCAAAAUCUUUUUUUUUGAAUGGUCAUGAAGGAAGCUAGUUAAAUGGCAACCUUUAAAUUGAGUAAGGCCUGAAUCUGUUCAUCUAGCCUGAACUUUUUUUAAUAUAAAGGAAAGCUCUGCGACUGGACUUGUGGGGCCUCCCAAAUAAAACUUUCAUUCUGAUUAGAAAUCAGGAAUAUUUCGGGCUUGUCCUGAUUUACUAUCUAUUUUACUGUGAACUGUUUUAUUUCAUAGUGUUUGAGGGAUGUUCUUAUGCUAUAUGGGUAGGCAUACCGAAUGUUAACCGAGCUAUGGUCAAGCUUAGGCUGGUACCCUGUUUAUAUACUUUCAAUUGAUCAGAUUAUAAAAUGUAACAUAGGUAGUAAUAUCUAUAAAACAACUUUUAACAAUGGAUCUCUUGGCUUUUGCAUCGAUGAAGAACGUAGCAAAUUGCGAUAACUAGUGUGAAUUGCANAUUCAGUGAAUCAUCGAGUCUUUGAACGCAUCUUGCGCUCAUUGGUAUUCCAGUGAGCACGCCUGUUUCAGUAUCAAAAACAACCCUCAUUCAAAAUCUUUUUUUUUGAAUGGUCAUGAAGGAAGCUAGUUAAAUGGCAACCUUUUAAAUUGAGUAAGGCCUGAAUCUGUUCAUCUAGCCUGAACUUUUUUUUAAUAUAAAGGAAAGCUCUUGCGACUUGGACUUUGUUGGGGCCUCCCAAAUAAAACUUUUUCAUCUUGAUCUGAAAUCCAGUGGGACUACCCGCUGAACUUAAGCAUAUCAUUAAACCGGAAGAAA